GAUGAACGCUAGCGGGAGGCCUAACACAUGCAAGCCGAGCGGGAUUUGUUGGUUAUCUUGCUUACUAACAUUGAGAGCGGCGUACGGGUGCGUAGCACGUGUGCAACCUGCCUUUAUCUGGGGGCUAGCCUUUCGAAAGGAAGAUUAAUACCCCAUAACAUAUUGAUUGGCUUCAGUUAAUAUUGAAAGCUCUGGCGGAUAGAGAUGGGCACGCGUAAGAUUAGCUAGUUGGUGAGGUAACGGCUCACCAAGGCUGCGAUCUUUAGGGGGCCUGAGAGGGUGCUCCCCCACACUGGUACUGAGACACGGACCAGACUCCUACGGGAGGCAGCAGUGAGGAAUAUUGGACAAUGGGUGAGAGCCUGAUCCAGCCAUCCCGCGUGAAGGACUAAGGACCUAGGGUUUGUAAACUUCUUUUAUACAGGGAUAAACCUACUCUCGUGAGGGUAGCUGAAGGUACUGUAUGAAUAAGCACCGGCUAACUCCGUG
rnacentral:rRNA from 1 species